AGGUGGAUCCGUCAUCGUUCCACGAAAUCAAAUCAUCGACGGCCGGAUCAUCUACGAGCUGAUACGUUUUGGUGAGGAAUGGAGUCGGCAGAGCUCUCUGGGAAUCUGCAGUUCCUCCAGUUCCACCACCGCAGCCGCCGCCCCUGCCGCCGGCACUCCCAGCAGCGGACGCGGAGGCCGGGACUCCCAGCAGCGACGGCGAUGGCGAGGGUUUCGCCGCUAGGUUCAACUGGCGACGACGGCAUUGACAGGUAUAGAUUCUCAAAUCCACGAAGCAAAGUGAUGAUGGUGUGUGGUCCCGAUGCUGACUGAUUUUCUAAAAAAUGAGAUCAGAUUAACAGACAAGAUAACUAGAGAGGAUAAAACAAAUUGGCGUUUUGAUUUGGAAAAGAAAGGCGCAGCAAGUAAUCUGAGUGGGAGAAAGAGAGGAGGAGAGAAUAAGAAGGGGCGAGAAGGGUGGGAGAGGGUCACGUGUGCUAAUCUGAGUGGCCUUUUUCUUUCUCGAACUUUCAUUCCUCUUCCUCUUCUUCUUCUUCUUCAAUCUCCAAUUCCAAGCUGCUCUCACAUUCACAACAGCUGCGUCCAGGCGGAAUUGGAUUUUUCUAUUUUAUAAUAAUAAUGGCCGGGAAUUGGAAUCCUAACUAAUAUGCCUAUGAUGGCCUAAGGUUAAUUUGAUCUUAUCUUAAAUUGGAGUUUUAUUUAAAAGCUCAUAACUUCUUUUUAUUGUCAGCGAAUUUUCGACGAUCGAUCCACGGAUUUUUAUUGACAUUUUCGACAUAGUCUCUAUUUUUUAGCCGUUAUUCGUCAAUCAUUUGAUGAAAGCGACUACAAGUUUGUAGCGGAUGUUUACCAAGUGCUGACAAAUAUUAGUCCGAUCUGAUGAACCGAUCACUCAACCCAAACAGAUAGACAUAUGACCCAUUUGAUUAAAAAGUCAACAACAUGCAACCCGCCUAACAUGUGAUUUCACGAACUCGCGACCCCACCAAUCUGUAACGAGAAUAAAUUGAAUAACAUGAUUGAAU
rnacentral:lncRNA from 1 species